GACGAACGCUGGCGGCGUGCCUAAUACAUGCAAGUAGGACGAGUUGCGAACGGGUGAGUAACGCGUGGUAACCUACCUAUUAGAGGGGGUUAACUACUGGAAACGGUAGCUAAUACCGCAUACCAUCGGAUGUGCCCAGAUGGGAUGAGCAAGUAGGUGGGGUAACGGCUCACCUAGGCGACGACCCCUAGCUGGUCUGAGAGGGUGACCAGCCACACUGGGACUGAGACACGUCCCAGACUCCUACGGGAGGAAGCAGUGGGGAAUAUUGGACAAUGGGCGCAAGCCUGAUGCGGCAAUGCGGCGUGUAUGAAGAAGGCCUUCGGGUUGUAAAGUACUUUCAGCGAGGAGGCGUUACUCGCCGAAGAAGCACCGGCUAACUCCGUGCCAGCCGCCGCGGUAAUAC
rnacentral:rRNA from 1 species